rnacentral:lncRNA from 9 species
GACAGAAAUGCUAUAAAAUUGGGUUGUGAUGAUCAUUGUACAACUAUAAAUGUAAUAAAAUUCAUUGAGUAAUUAAAAAAAAAUUCAAGGUAAUAGCUAUUUCUGUAGGGAAAGCAGGGAAAUGGAUGAGGAAAAAGCCCACAGUAUUAGUCAUGCUCUCAUUUUUAAGUUGGGUUCAAAGGUGUUCAUUAUUGUGCUUCAUAUCCAGUGUGGCCAUAGAUCUGGUGUUUCCAGGACAGUUCUGAUUUAUACCUGUUGUCCCACAUAAUUCACUGCAAUCCCUUUCUUUCCUAGAAAGUUCUGAUUUGGAUAAUAAAGUAUAUGACUAGCCUAAAAAAAAAAACAAUCAAGUGCUCUGGGAAGAUGUGAUAGAAUGUUGUGACACGUUUAAGUCUGGAUACAAGAUGGUUGACAUCCUUAUCUAUGUCAGUAAGAGGGUGAGGAAUCACACAGACAAGUAAUGUGAUCAGCAAGAGAUGGUCAACUAAGCAGAACAGUGGGUUGGGGGAAGGAUAUGGUCCUGAAGCCAAGAAGCAUCAAGAUGGUGACUUACACUUAACCAUUUGCUCACAAUGACUGCCUACAGUAAGCAGACACUCAUCUUCUCUGAAAACAGUGCUGCUCACUUUGAAGCCGACCAAGACCUAAUUCAGCCAUGUUGAUGCUCUACGGAGUUAUGCCUUCUUCUGGGCUAGAGAUGAUUGAAUCAGAAGUGGACACCCACCUGACUUUAACCUCCUCCCCUUUGUGGGCUAUACCUAAGCUGCUGAUAUGUCAAGAAUGGCUACCCCUGCCAGCUGCCUUCUUCCUUCUGCAGUCAGAGGAAGCUGCAUUUUUCCAGAGUGCUCAACUGAAUACUCUUAUAAACAUGCUGUUGGGGGACUCACCCUGGGCGAUCAUCAGGAGAUCAUGACAAUGUGCACAAUUGAUGGACAUGUGAGGAGUGUGGCAGUCGAGCUUAGAGCAGAGAAGGUGAUUUGCUGCAGAGCAAUUACCCUAAUGCAUUUUUAAAAGCAUAAAAUAAAGAAUCAUUUCAUUUGCUGAAAAGAUAUUUUAGGUGCUUUGGUAAAGCAGUG